AUCUGUAGCCAUACCGCCCUGAACACACCUGAUCUCAGAAGCUAAGCAGGGGUAGGCCUGGUUAGUACUUGGAUGGGAGACCCCCUGCGAUUACUGGGUGCUGUAGGCU
rnacentral:rRNA from 1 species